GAACUUCCGUUAAUUGAUUAUGACGUACUUGUACUGAUUGAGAUUUUAACACGAAGUGAGUGGCGAACGGGUGAGUAACACGUGGGUAACCUGCCCAGAAGUAGGGGAUAACACCUGGAAACAGAUGCUAAUACCGUAUAACAGAGAAAACCGCAUGGUUUUCUUUUAAAAGAUGGCUCUGCUAUCACUUCUGGAUGGACCCGCGGCGUAUUAGCUAGUUGGUGAGGUAAAGGCUCACCAAGGCAGUGAUACGUAGCCGACCUGAGAGGGUAAUCGGCCACAUUGGGACUGAGACACGGCCCAGACUCCUACGGGAGGCAGCAGUAGGGAAUCUUCCACAAUGGACGCAAGUCUGAUGGAGCAACGCCGCGUGAGUGAAGAAGGGUUUCGGCUCGUAAAGCUCUGUUGUUAAAGAAGAACGUGGGUAAGAGUAACUGUUUACCCAGUGACGGUAUUUAACCAGAAAGCCACGGCUAACUACGUGCCAGCAGCCGCGGUAAUACGUAGGUGGCAAGCGUUAUCCGGAUUUAUUGGGCGUAAAGCGAGCGCAGGCGGUCUUUUAAGUCUAAUGUGAAAGCCUUCGGCUCAACCGAAGAAGUGCAUUGGAAACUGGGAGACUUGAGUGCAGAAGAGGACAGUGGAACUCCAUGUGUAGCGGUGAAAUGCGUAGAUAUAUGGAAGAACACCAGUGGCGAAGGCGGCUGUCUGGUCUGCAACUGACGCUGAGCUCGAA
rnacentral:rRNA from 1 species